AACACAUGCAAGUCGAACGGCAGCACAGAGGAGCUUGCUCCUUGGGUGGCGAGUGGCGGACGGGUGAGGAAUACAUCGGAAUCUACUCUGUCGUGGGGGAUAACGUAGGGAAACUUACGCUAAUACCGCAUACGACCUACGGGUGAAAGCAGGGGAUCUUCGGACCUUGCGCGAUUGAAUGAGCCGAUGUCGGAUUAGCUAGUUGGCGGGGUAAAGGCCCACCAAGGCGACGAUCCGUAGCUGGUCUGAGAGGAUGACCAGCCACACUGGAACUGAGACACGGUCCAGACUCCUACGGGAGGCAGCAGUGGGGAAUAUUGCACAAUGGGCGCAAGCCUGAUGCAGCCAUGCCGCGUGUGUUAAGAAGGCCUUCGGGUUGUAAAGCAC
rnacentral:rRNA from 1 species